CUUGAAGUUUCAUAUGACUGAUUUGCAUUUCUGAUGGAUAAUUGAAAACCUUUUAUGAAAAAGUAAUUGCAGUUUCUCUGCAUGUUAUGCAAAUUUUGGUUUCUGAUAAACUAAAUAGUAUACUUGGCACAUUAGAUGAUGAAGAGAUAUUUGAAGGUGCCCACAGAAAAUGAAAUAUAUAGGAGUUAGGACAGAAUGUGGUGGUGUGCAAAGCCUGGCUUUUCCUUAAAUCCUUGCUUUUUACCUUCCUUUGCAGCCAAUUUUUCAGUUGAUCAAGAAUAAUUUAAUCAGAAAGGAACGAUAAGGAAUUACAGUUGAAGAGCAUCAAAAUAAG
rnacentral:misc_RNA from 1 species